rnacentral:rRNA from 1 species
UACGGAGGGUGCAAGCGUUAUCCGGAUUUACUGGGUUUAAAGGGUGCGUAGGCGAGUCUUUAAGUCAGUGGUGAAAGCUCCGAGCUUAACUCGGAAACUGCCAUUGAUACUAUUGGUCUUGAAUUCGGUCGAGGUUGGCGGAAUGUGUCGUGUAGCGGUGAAAUGCUUAGAUAUGACACAGAACACCGAUUGCGAAGGCAGCUAGCUAGACCGACAUUGACGCUGAGGCACGAAAGCGUGGGGAUCAAACAGG